GACACUGCAAAUAUUUUUUUUGUGCUGACAACAUUUUUAAUUUUUGUUGUUUGGGGUAUCUUGAGAACCUCCAGUACAUUGGCUGUUGUUUUGACAUAAGAAAAACACAUUUUUAUCAUCAGUCACAAUUCUGUUUAAGAGUACUUGAAUUCACCUUCCUCAUCACUGUAUCUGGCAAGAAAUGUUAAAGCAAUGCCCAGUCGCUUCAUUCUGUAAGCAUUUUUGGAACCCAAUGGGAAUAUAAUUUGUGAAAAUUUAAGCAAUUUGUGGCAAUCUCUUGCCAAACAGUUUUUGAAAUUUAUAGAGACUCAUCACAGAGCACUCUUAUUGUGAAUUUCUCAUUCACCUUCUCAACAAAACUAUCACUGAGAACAGGAAGCUGCCCAUUCUGUGCUCCGUCAUUUACAAUGGUUCAUCUAUCAUUGAACUGUCUCGCCCACUUUCUCACCAUUCCAUCAGUCAUUACAUUUUCACCAUAAAUCUCUUAAGUUCAUGAUUAUUUCAGCUGGCAUUCUUUGCAUUCAAAAAUCUUAUAACAGAAUACAAUUCAGUCAUCAGGCUCAUAGAUUGUCAAACAUUUUGAAUGAUGGCUAACAAAUGUUAAGCACGACACAUUCUAGCUGUAAUGGCACCAGUGGAAAGUCAGUGAACCAGAGAGACGAGUGUGAAUGUGCAGAACUGCAAUGCUAGUCUUGUGGUAGCAGUAGAAUGAAACGGUAUUUACUUUCCAGACAUGCAUCUUACAAUAAACCUGAAGUACAUAUUCCAUAGUAACAACUUAUUUUUUAACUUACAGAUUCUGUAUUUCACAAGAUUUUGGAUGGAACCUGGGUUAAAAAUAGUGGAUACACGAGACUGCUACACCAAGUACAGCAAAUGAAUUUUCCGCACUGGCAGCCCUACAUCAAAUGAAUAAACCUAUAUAUACUAAUUACUGUAUUCAAAAAAUUAUAUUUUUACAUGACCAGGUUCCUCAUAUCCAUAGCACACAUCCACCACUGACCCAAAUCACCUGUUCACCAAGAGGUUGUCAGCAUUAGGGCUCAGGCAACACGCCAGAUACUCUCCACUGAUUUUCUCAAAAACUACACUAUUGAGGCAAAACCCAAAGCAGGUGUGUUAUCUUUUCUCUCAAUGACUAACAUUAGUGCACAAUUGCACAAGAUUCUGUGACUAUGUGGUGGUCUCUCCAAGCAAGAUUUCUGAGGACAUUCUGUACAGAAGGCUUCAGCAGGAGAUACCUGCUGGCCAUUACAGAGAGGGAAAAAGGAGAAGCUGGGACAAUGUUCCUGAGAGAGAACUUAACUAAUGAACAUGGGUUGAAACACAUUCAGGAACUCGUGCUCAGCUCAAAGGUGAUGCAGGAUUUUAUGUCCUCCAUUUCUUGGCCCACAGGUGGUUGCAUACAGGAGUGAAAUGACGACGGGAUCAAGCUGAGAUUUUUCAGGUCUCUCUGGUUGGAGAUAGUACAGAAUGACUCUGCUGUUGCACUAAGGACAUCAGUAUAGUGGUGGUACAGAAAUGAGACUGAGCUGACUUACUAGUUUAUUUUUAUUGCUUCUUCACGUGUUUGCUUUGAAUAUGCAGAUCACAGACACUGGUUUAUAAAUUCUUAUAUCUUCAGUAAGUACAUGAAGUAAUUUUGGAAAUACAGGUCGAAACCGUCAAAGUGUCAGCGUCUAUUGCUCUAAUCAAACACUUAGGUUAAAGUACUUUUCACUGUGAAGUUGAAUAUAGACAUAGUUACACGUAGACAAAUAUAUGAUGGAAGUCAAUAACACCAAACCAGAUGCACACACAGGCAAACUUUGCCUAUCUUUCUUAGUGUACAAGCUUAACUGAAGAUAAUGCUCACUUUUAUAUGAUUUGCUGUUGGCUCCUGGUCAUCCGAGGUAACUUGGUUUGGAACACUGGUGCUGACUGCAACACUCAAACUCUGCCUUGCUUGGCAUGGCACAUGAUUGGGUCACUUUUUACCUCCAAUUCACAAUCAGUGAGUGUGAAAUCAGCGGUUUCUCAAUGUGGGUGACCUCUUAAUGGACUGAUGAAAGUAGCUUGCGUUGUAAGACUACCUGAGUUAGAAGGCUUACAGCUAAUAUUCAUACUUACACAAAUUCUCUUUUUUCUGGCAACCCUUCACGAUUUGGUCAUUAAAACUGUGACAAACAGUGCAGCCAAAGGUGAGGAUACUUGUUAAGGGUUCCAAGCUACCACAUGCCCACAGGUGGGACCAGUGGCAUAACUGCUACUUUUAUUUCACCCCCUCCUCCACACAAACACCUACCCACCUUCCUACCUUUCUGUAAACCCAUUUCUGUCUUAAGCAUUUUCACAGAGUGAUCUGGGAAAUUUUUUCCUUGGGUGUCCUAGGACCUACAAUGAAUAAAAUUGUAAAUUUUCUACCCAGUUUGUAUAAAAGUGAAAGCCAUGAACAAAAGGUUGAUUUAGACAAGUUUAUUAGACAUGAACAGUGAUAGAAUUUUCUCACUUAACCAGAGUCCAAACAAGGACACAACCUUAAUUUAACAGAUACUGAACCAACAAGCUUCACACUGCAUUUGUCCACGCAAAAUAUUGUAGUAGACCUUUUAUGAAUUUCUUACUAAACCUCUCAAAGUAAUCCUCUACAUUCCUUACAUAAAAUUGUGGCAUAUUUCCAUUUUUCCAUGUGUGUUCGUGUUCUGCCCUAAUAAUCUCAAGGAUAGUGGUAUGUUAAAUUAACCUUCACUCUAUUAGUGCACUCAUAUGAAGUAAUUUAAAUUUCUACAGUAGAAUCAUCAAUCUGCCUAGUUCUUAACUAUGCCAUCACUAGUGUUUUCCAAUGCAGUUUUAUUUACCAUACAAUUAUGUGCAAUGUAUUUUUCUUAUUAAUACUUGGAAAGUUGCAGUGAAACCAGUGAUCUCCAUACUAACUGGAUGUACAUCUUCUGUCUUUAACCAUAGCACUUAUCUGUGCCGUCUCAGGAGUGUUUGUUUAUAUCAUCCGCCAUCUUUUAGUUAGGCAAAAAGUUUCUCUUGGUGUUAAUGAAGUGUAUGUUGUGAGUGUAAAAUGGUUCUUUUGUGCUCCGCAUACAACUGUACGAACCGGUGGAACAAGGAAAAUAAUUUAACUUUCCACAGGUUUCCUCUGCAAAAAGGCGAUUAGCUGAGACAGUGGGUCAUUACCACUAAACGCAAAGGUUUCACGCCUGCAAGGGCUAGUUUCUUGUGUGGAGAUCACUUCUUGGAAGAAGAUUAUUUAGUAAGGCCUGGUACUUUGAGAAGGCAUCUCAAGCCUGAUGCAGUGCCAUCACAGUUUGUGUUUCCGAUGCAUUUAAUGCCCAAGGAAAAGCAACCAAGGUGACAGAUUGGAAUAACAACUGAACAGCCUACUGCAGAAACUCAUGAUUAUAUUGAACAGUUUUCUCAGAGUUACGAAACAUCUAAGGAAUGUGGAUCUCAAACACAAAUAGAAAUGAUUGACAAGGCCACUGACACAUGCAGUUUCUUUACCAGAUGUGGAGGCACUGGGAAGGAAAAAUCAAGAGCCUGCAGGAAAAAAUUAGGAGAAAAGAGAAGAAAAACUAUUCAAUGAAAGAGAAGGGUCAUCUAACAGAGAAGCUGCAUGAAUUCCUGAAUCAACUAACAGGGACUCAGGUGGAAUUAGUGUGCAAUUUGUUGAAUAAUAGUGUGUCAUCCAAGGGAAACAGGUACAAAACAGACAAAAUGUUUGCAAUGACAGUGUAGUUUUACUCUCCUAAGGCAUAUGGAUAUUUAGACAGACAGACAUUAAUGCCUCUGCCUCUCAAAUCACUGAUUUCUCGUUUGGCAGGGACUGUGAAUUGUGAUCCUGGCUUUUUAAGUGAUGUGUUCAGGUACUUUGAGUUUAACCAUCAAGUGAGGACUGAAUUUAAAGAUUCUAGCCUCAUAAGAGACAGUAUGGCAAUUAGAAAACAGGUAGUGUGGGACCAGGAAACUAAGAGGUAUACAGGUUUUGUAGAUUUUGGAGAAGUUGAACAAUCAAAAGCAGCUUCAGAGGCAUUAUAUUUUAUGCUUGUGUCCAUAAAAGGUAAAUUUAAGUGUCCUGUAGCGUAUUUUUUAGUGAAUGGCUUUAAUGGUAGUGUACAGGUAAAGUUAAUAAACUCUGCUCUGGAGAGGCUAAGCAAUUCAGGCAGUCACUUGUAAUGGCACAAGGACAAAUAUAAGUACCCUUCGUUCAUUGGGAUGCAGCAUUAAUUUUCAUCAAAAAGUUUCUUCUUCUCAGUUCCUUCGCCCAGUUUCAAACCACAAUGUUUACUGCAUUUUGGAUAUGUGUCAUUUAGUGAAACUUGCUUGAAAUGCAGAUUAGCAGAAGUAGGUGUUAUAGAGUCUACAAAUGGCCAUAUUAAGUGGCAGUACUUAAAAGAACUAAAUGAGUAGCAAAUUGAGGAAGGCAUGACAUUUGCUAACAGGUUGUCAGGACAACGUAUUAAUUAUGUUAAUAAAAAGAUGAAUGUCAGCUUAGCAGUUCAAACAUUCAGUUUGAGUGUUGCAGAUACUAUAGAUUUUUUGAGAAGAGCUGGCAAUCCCAGAUUCCAUGGUAGUGAGGCAACAGUGGAGUUUGAGAUUUAUAGACAGAAUUUUUGAUGUCUUGAACUCCAGCAAUCUUCUACCUUCAGGAUAUAAAGCCAGCCUGAAACUUAGUAAUCAGACACAUUGGCUUGAUAUUUUGCAUCAGACAUAAUCUUAUAUAAGAAGUUUAAAAGUAAAUGGUGUUUCUCUCGUGCAGCAUCCGAUUAAGGCCAUUGCACUGGAAAUAAUGACUAGGGAAAUUCUCAUGUGUGAGAUCUAGAGGGGGUUGGAAUAACAACCCAAAUUCAUACCAGUUGGAGUGUGCUAUGCGCAAGUUGCUUUUAGGCACUAAUGUUAGCAUUGUUGGGGGAUACUCUGCAAAUUUUAACAUGUGUUCAAUGGUACCUGUAGGACUGUAUGAUUUCCGAUCACAAAAGUGUCCUCCUGUAGAUGAAGUAGAAAAAUGGUGCUCACUUACUGAAGAAGGUACUAUGUUGCCCUCACAAUUUCAAAACAAGUUACAUGUAAGGACUGCCUCUACAUUCUUAGGCCACGCAACAUAUGCACUUCUUAGUACUGCAGAAGAGAGCUCAUUCACAAAAUUUGUAAGCCGAGGCAAGCUUAUUGAAACAAAUAAGGCUGUAUACUCUGUGGUGGAGCACUCAGAAAAAUUGUAGUGACAUUAGGCAAAAGCACUUACUAAUUAAGAUUGUCAUGUGUUUGAAUUAUUCAUACCUUAAACUUAACCAUGACUUUCAUAAUGAAUGCAGAAUUUAAGAUUUGCAUGAGAGAGAGCUUGUACGUAAGAUUACAUUCAGGUGCAGCUGAAAACAUAUGGGGAAAAGGGUUUCAGUUGAGAAAAUAGGUCACAAUACAACUAGUGUAAGACAAAAACUCAGUAAGAUUAUUCUAUUCAGUAAUGUGUAGUGUUGUGCCUGUAACGUUGGGAAUCGACACAGAAUUCAUCAACCGACCACGGCAUAACAGCCCGGAUAAUUAUAAUGGACAUGUGCGUGUAACAUUGCAGCAGUGGUUAAAAAUGUAUGGAAAUGACAAAAAUAAAUUUCAUAUUUAGUGUUUCAA